UCUUAGAACACAGGCAUUAUUUUAUUCUGAUACAGUGUUUCCAGGACUUGGCUAAACAAUGGACUGGGCAUUGUUUCUCUAUUCAGAACACAGAAGGAAAUGGGAAAAGUUAUUAUCAGGUGCCUUUCUUCUUCUAAAAUCAUUCACCUUCAAGAAGGAGAUGAAGUCAAAUACUAACAGAGGAACUGUGGAACGAAGAGAAGAAUGAAACCUUUAGGUCCCUAAAUCAGGAGAGGCUGUGGAGUGUUACCCCAUUGCCAGUGUGCCCGUCUUCCACAUCUUCGAAUUCUGUUCCUCUCUCAAAGCAUAGCUUAUGUCUCACCUGCUGCUUGGCAAUUUUUGCGAACAGUCUGGAGCCUCUUUAUCAGUGUACCUGUGUAGCCUUGAUCAUGUGAUUGUGCUCCAUCCUUAGACGUCUUCUGAAUCCAUUUGAACACUUGGAAUAUUUGCUUUGUUCUUGAAGUGGCAUAUACUAGAUGCUUGAAGAAAACAUUCACAGUGCUCUCCUGGCCAAGACCACCAAACAUCUACCUGUAGAAUUGCUACGAGCGCCAAAGGCAAUAAUGUAUUUGGAAGGCCCCACCCUGUCUUGGCUUAGCGGUUUUCUGGAAGAUAGGCGUCUCGACGCUGGGAGACUCCAAACCCAGGGCUUCCUGAGUCUGGGGCUGAGAUCUCUUUUCUGCCAUUCAUGACAUGGAGACAUGCUUUCCCGGGCCCUGUUCCUAAAGCCACAGGAGGCGCCUGCCCAAUGAGGAACCAAAGUGACCUGUACUCCAGGUUUCACUCCAGCAUCUGGGUGUUGGUCGGAAAGCUUCCUGUCACUAAAUGUUUGUGCAAAAGAAAAUGUCCAUUGACCAUGGAGUGUUGUAGAGGGAUUCCUUCCCUGCAGAGGGAGUGACUUGUUGAUUCUACUCAUUUUGUAAUUUCAUAUUUUACCACAACAAUGAUUUUGCAAUUGAAGUGCUACAGUUUAUUCUCAGAUUUUGUAUUUAUGUAAUUCUAAAGAAAAGAAUGUAAAAUAAAUACUCGAUAGAUAGCUUUACAGUUUCUGCCCUUAACUUUUUGGGUACUGUCUUCCUGUGUGAGGAUUAUAUAGGUCUGAGGGGUCUCUGGAUAUAUCAUCAGCCAGUCUGGGAUUUGUUGUCACCUUUGCAAAAGCAUGUCCAAAAAAAAAAAAGAGAGAGAGAGAGAGAGAAAGAGAGAGAGGGAAAAUCUGAAGCUUUCCCUUUGGCUUUUUUUCUGACUGCACUGAUGAAAAGUUCAAGGAGAAAGAAGUCAGAGAAAUUAACUAAAAUGAGAUUUUAGUAAUAUUUUUAUUAAAACAUGCUAGUCUAUUCCAUUAAUAUAGGUAAUGAAUAACUAAUUCUAGUAUAUAUCAAUAAUUGAUAAUUAGUGCAUAAAAUAAACAAAAUGAACUCACCUUAUAAAUAUGGCAUGAAUAUAAAUUUUAUUCUGUCUUAAUCUGCAUUUUGAGCCUCUUUCUUGGUGAAUCAAAGUAGUCUAGAAAUAGAUCAUAUAAUAAAAGAUCAUCUAGUAUAUAUAAAGAUGACAUCCCAAAUCACUUUGAAGAAUAUUCAAAAAAAUAAUGUCAGGACAGUUGGUUAAUUGUUUGAAUAAAAAUCCUACUAGAUUCUCAUGUAAUAUACAUAAAAUGGAUCAAGAUGGAUAAAAUAGCUAUACACUAAAAUAAAACUAUUAAGCAGCUGAAAGAAAAUACAGGUUCUUACUUGUUUGAUCUCAUGGAAAUAAGCUAAGGGGAAAAAAAAUGAAACCUCAAAGGGAAGAUUGUUACAUUUGAUGACAUAAAGAACCUUUAGAACCUUUGUGUGUCUGUAAAAAAUAUUAAUUGACUUUUAAUAGGCAUUUAAUAUUGGCAGCAUAUACAACAGACGAUGUUACCAUCAUUAUAUAAAAUACUCUUAUAAAUCAAAUACAAAAAAUAGGAAAAUACCAAUAUAUUGAGUAAAGCUAUUAAAGUUAACUGAAAAAAGAAAAUGCACACAUGACUAAUAAACAUCACAAAUUCAAUCUUUACUCACCAGAGAAAUGCAAAAAAAAAAAAAUCGGUCAUAUCAUUUUUCUCCUAUCAAAUUAUAAGAAAGUUAAAAAUUAUGCUCUGUGUUGUGAGGCACUUUAUUCACAGCUGGUAGGGAUAUAAAUAAAUAUUGCUUUCUGGAGGAUAAUUUGGAAUAUAUAUUUUAAAAAGCCUUAAAAAUUUGUGCUUUGAUCCAGAAAUUCUCUUUCUAAGAAUAUAUCCAAAGGAAAUAAUAAGAGAUGUAUACAACGAUUUAGGUGCAAGUAUAUUCAUUGUGGCACUGUGUCUUAUGAUAUGAUAUUGGGAAAACAACAGAGGUUCAACAAUAGGAAAAUAAUUAAAUAAAAUGUGAUAGAUCGUAUCAUGGCCUAUUUAUUAUGCACUCUUUAGGAGUUGUGUUCCUAAGAAUAAUGACAAAAUGAAAUGCUAAUAAUACAUUCUUAAGUUAAAGAAAAAGCAGGAUACAAAACAAUGUGAUCUGAAUAUUAGAGGGGGUGGAAAGCACAGGAAAGCAAGAAAAAAGAACGUGUGUGUGUAUAAAUUAAGAAAAACAAAAAUAACAACGGGAAUAAAAGAAACCAGAAGAUAACUAUAGGGUUUUUUUUUUCU